rnacentral:lncRNA from 1 species
UGGCAUAAGGAAGUUCCCAGGCUAGGGACUGAAUUGGAGCUAUAGCUGCUGGCCUAUGCUACAGCCACAGCAACAUGGUAUCCAAGCUGCAUCUGCAGCCUACACCAGAGCUCACUGCAAUGCCAGAUCCUUAGCCCACUGAACAAGGCCAGGGAUAUAAACCAGCAUCUCAUGGAUAUUAGUUGGGUUCAUAACCCACUUUAGCCACAAUGGGAAAUUCCCUGGUUUUCUUUAUUUGAAUGUGUGGUCAUUUAUCUUCCUAGCACGAGUUAAUGAACAAAACAGAUAAAAACACCCCACCCUUCUGCAACUUACAUGAGGUAACAGAAGUAAAUGAGAGUCAAUAAAACAAUAAAUGGAUAAUUUUUUUACUGUAAUAGAUGCUGGUAUCCUUGGAAAAAUGAAGGACUAGAUCAGGGUAAGGGGCAUGGCUGGGAGGUGGUAAAGGUGGGACUUAGGGGAGAGCAGUUAGUAGUGUUGAUAGGUCUACAGUGUUUAUAGGAGGUGAGGGAAUUAGCCAAGAGUACUUUUAGAAAAAGAGCUUUCCAGGCAGAGGGCCCAGUUAGAGCAAAGGCCAUUAAGAUGGAAAUAGACCUGAAAUAGCCAAGAAACAGCAAGGGGGUCAGAGGGUUGAAACAGGAGGAACAAAGCAGGGGUGGGGGUAGGGGAUGGAAAGCAGGAGGUGAUGUGGGGUCUUAUAGAUAAUGUAGGAACUUGAGCUUUUACUAUGAGUGAGAUGGGAAGCAGUAAAGAUCUAAGAGAAGCAGUUUUCUGAUUUCUAUUUUUAAAGGAUCACUCAGAUCUCUUUACUAAGACUAGAUUAUACUUGGUCUAGUGUUGAAGUGGAGGCCACUUAGGAGGCUUUUACAACUGCCCGGCUGAGAGAUGUUGGAGACCCGAGUCAGCAUUGCAGUGAUGGAAGUGAUGAGAAGUGGCUGGAUCCUAAACAUAUUUUGAAUGUAGAACCAAAAGGACUUGCUGAUAUUUUACAUGUGAAAUGUGAGAAACAGAAAAGCCAAUGGUGAUUUUAAUGUUCUUAGGCUGAACAAAUAAGUUCAAUUUUUUUUUCUUUUUUGGUCUUUUUAGGGCUGCACCUGUGGCAUGUGGAAGUUCUCAGGCUAGGGGUUGAAUUGGAGCUGCAGCUGCCGGCCUACACCACAGCCACAGUAAUAUGGGAUCCAAGCCGCUUUUGUGACCUACAUCACAGCUCAAGACAGCGCCAGAUCCUUAACCCACUAAGAGAGACUAGGGAUCAAACCUGUAUCCUCAUGGAUACUAGUCAGAUUUGUAACCUGCUGAGCCACAACAGAACUCCCAAGGAUCCAAUAUUUGAUAAGCUGUUUUAUAUUACAUAUUAAGUUACUUAUUACCUAACUAAGUGGUUAAAUAUCAUAUUCAUAGACUCAGAAUAAUGCUGAGUCUAUGACUAUGAGAACUUACUCAAAGUUAAGUUUUCCCCUCAUCAUUUAUUCAAUUUAUUUUGCACCAAAUAAAUAGCAGUAUAUUUAUAGCAGAGCCCUCAAGGCAAAUUCAUUGAGGCCUGAAUUUGUGUGAGUAGGUCUUGUAGAUCAGUGAGACUAGAUAUGCUGAAAGAUAAUUUACAAGAGAAAGACUGAAAAAUUUUAUGGAGAAUAAUUCAUACUAAUAAUUCAUACUAAUAAUGAACUUAUGGAGAAUAAUUCAUACUAAUAAUUCAUACUAAUACAAGAGGUAAAGAAAGCAAACUUGAUGCAAUAGCAAAUUGCUGCACUGACCCAAUAGUAGAAUUGGUCUGUAUUUCAGAUUUGUUCCAACUCCUUCCUUCCUUCGUUCUUUCCUUCCUUCCUUCCAUGGUAGACUCAUUUGGGGAUAUUAUGAGAGAGAGGGUUAUGAAUGAAAAAUGAAAGAAUUACUUACACUAACAUAAUCUCUGUAAGGUAUUAGGACAGAAGAGAUUGUCACAUUGGUUCAUUUUUUACAGGUUGUUAUGAAUGAGAAAAGGGAUCCAUUUCUCCCCACAUUGGGAUAGAAUGCUGAAUAGCUUUGGUACCUUGGUAUGCACUCUGUCAGCACCACCAACAAGGGCCAUGACACAGGAAGUACCAGCAGUGUUAAGUGGCAGGGACCUGAGAGCUGUGGUACCCAAUCGAAGUGGCAGUUGAGUCUAGAAAAGAUGGUGGUACCUGGUCACAAUGUAAAUGUUAUGGACUGAAUGUGUCUGCCUCAAAUUCGUAUAUUGGUUUCCUAAACACUACGAGGGUGGGUUCCUUGGGAGGUCCUUAGGUCUUGGGGUGGAGCCCUCACAAAUGGGGUUAGUUAUCUUAUGAGACAUAGAGACAUGAUCUCUCUCUCCUUCAUGGGAGGACACAUUUGGAAAAUGGCAUCCAUACACCAGGAACUCAAGCAUCCUAGCACCCUGAUCUCAGACUUCUAGUCUUCAGAACUGUGAAAAAUAAUAAUUUGUUAUUUAAGCCACCCAUUUUAUGAUAAUUUGUUGUAGCAGUCCAAAGAGAUUAAGGCAGUAGCUCUUCAGUCUUUUGUGAGAUUUCCACUGGAGAUUCACAGUAGUACUUAGGGUGUGUAUGUGUAUAUGUGUGUGUGUGUAUGUGUGUGUACUUGCACACAUGGGCUAUUCAGACUAUUGAGUACAAAUUAGAACAUGGGGAGUUCCCAUCGUGGCUCAGUGGUUAACAAAUCCGACUAGGAACCAUGAGGUUAUGGGUUCGAUCCCUGGCCUUGCUCAGUGGGUUAAGAAUCUGGCAUUGCCAUGAGCUGUGAUGUAGGUUGCAGACGCAGCUCAGAUCCUGAGUUGCUGUGGCUCUGGCAUAGGCUUGGCAGCUGCAGCUCUGAUUCGACCCCUAGCCUGGGAACCUCCAUAUGCCAUGGGUGUGGCCCUAGAAAAGACCAAAAAAAAAAAAAAAUAGAAGAUGGUUUUGAGAACCAGAGAAAUAUGUUUUUACUAUCAAGGUGAUUUGAUUUUGGCCUCAGUCUGGGGUGGACUAACAGAGUGAGUCUGUGUAUCACUUUUUGCAAAAAGAUGCUAUAUUUUUGGUCACCUUGGUUAUUUAGCAUAGGAUGCCUUUGAAACAAAAAUCUUAAGUCCCAUUUCUGCAUGUGCCUAUUAGGAAAGCGUUACUAGGAAAGAAACAUUUGUUAGGUUCUACUUUGUGCAAGACACUACUGUAGAUGCUUUACACAAGCUAUUUCGUGAUACAAAUGACCAUUGACUCAAUGAGGUCUGGACUGUUAUAGAAGGAAGGACUUGAGUAUAAAGAGGAGGACGACAGCAACUAGUUACAGAGAAAUCUCAGGCAUAUACUAUGUUCCACAUUCAUUGUGCUAUUUAAUCUUUAUAGCAGUACUAUUCGAUCAACACCCUUAUGCUCAUUCUACAAAUGAGGAACCUGGGAAUCAGGUUAAGAAGUUUUCACAGUUACAUGGUUUAAGCUGUGGAAUAGUUGUUCAAAUAUAGACUUCCCUCACUUUGAAGUCUACAUUCUAAACACUUAAGGCAGCUAUUGCUUCAAUAAUGCCACCCAAAACCCUCCCAGAAUUCAGAGGCUUUCAGUUACUAAUAUUUACUUUUCUCACUUUUAUUCUGUAGGUCUGCUGGGGCCUCUCUGUUUCAGGCUGUGGGUCAGUAGGAUUUGACUCCAGCUUGGAGCUGGGGUCAGGUCUGUUCCUAUAUCUCAUUUUGGAUGUGCUAGGGCUGUACUUUCAUCAUGACCAUCAGAGGUACCCAGGAAACCACAUACAGUCUUUCUUAGUUAUUCUCCAGGGUGGGGUUGGGGGGGGAUUGGUUUCAGGACCCCCUGUGGAUACAAAACUCUGGGGGUGCUGGAGUCCCUUAGCCCCUUUCUAUCUGUGGGCUUUGCAUCUGUUGAUUCAACCAACAGCAGUUUGUAAACCCAGUACUUGAACUGCAGUGAGUAGAAUCUGAUGAUGUGGAACCCAUGGAUAUGGAGGGUCCACUUAUAUUUCUUAAAUGCCUCUGCUUAUGUCACAUCCACAGACAUUUCCGAGGAAGUCAUGUGCACAAGCCCAAUCAAUGUCAAGGAGGAUGUGGAAACAUCCUCACAGUGGAAAGAACUGGGGGAUUACAUAGCUAAAGGUAUAGAUGGAUAAUUUUAUAAUGCAGAAGGAGCAAAGAAUUGAGAACAAUAAUCCAAUUUACCACACUACUGCAUCACACUACUUUCCUGAUGAAAGGAAAUUUAUCACUGUUUCAAGAGUCAUUCUAACUAUAUUAUCCACUGAUAGUGGUUUGAAAGUGCCGUCUUUUUAAACGAAGAGAUGCAUCACACAAAAUAUUAGAUCUUAAUACAUGCUUGAAAAGGCUGCUGAUGACACUGAGUUUUCUAGUUAACUGCGAAGUGCAAAGGCAUAUUUUCUACUUCUAUUACUUAUAUGCAUUUCUCUUGGAAUGCAUUUUCUUUUGGAUUAAAUUUUAACAUCACCAUCGGUGCCCCAGUUGGAUCUCUUUAUAAUUUCUAGACUUACUCCUCAUCCACUCUGCAUAAUUAUGAAUUUCAUGUACAUAUGGAUGUUUCUGCAAUAAUGAACUUUAUUUCUUACGCUUUUCCUAUAUGAUAAGAAAGCAACCAUUUGAUUCAUUAAAAUCAGAAAAACAAUAUGGUCCAACAAACUAUUUUGCCUCAUACAUGACCAAAUAGUACUUUUACUGGUUAAGGUUUUUGUUUGUUUGUUUUUUUCAUCUCACAUGGUUGUUAUGACCUCACACAGACAAGCCUUUUAGUUUAUAGAGAUUCUUCAUAUUGAGUACUGCUAGCACAUUAUUUAACCCCCAAAUUCUGUGAUUUUGAAGUCUUCUAGGAAGUAAAUUGAGUAACUGAAUUAUUAUUUAUUUGAACUGUGUGUCAGAUCGAAGUGCAUUCAUCAACAUUCACCUGGACUCUGAGGUUUUUUUCCCCUUGAGUAAUCUUCCAGCUGAGUCCCUAAAUGUUUGUAGAACCUUCCAAAUAAAUCUAAAAGCAUUUUAAAGGAGAGUUGGAGCAUAGAUUUCUGUCCUUUAUUUGUAUCUUUGGCUUUGUAAAGGGUCCUUUUCAAGAGUGCGCCAUGCUGGAGCUAGAUGUAGUUACAAUAGUAGAUAUUUUCUUGCAGAGAGAAAGCUUAGUUUUAGACAUUUCACUUCUUUAACAUUUCUUUCCAAUCUUCCAUCAAAAGCAUCCAUGGGAGGCUGUUAAAUCACAGGGGGAAUAUGCUGUGAAAGACUGCCCACAUUUGAUAGCCGAGAGCAAAAGUCAGUCAAAGGUGACCUUUUUUCCUAUUAUGUAGCUCAGCCGAGGAACUUGCCAUUUGAACUUUGGCAGCGUAGCUUCUUCAACCAUAUGGUUCUCUCAAUAGCCAAUAUAAGACAGCCCAGCAGGGGAGUUAAUUGCUUCUCAUUGUAAAAA